rnacentral:rRNA from 1 species
GACGAACGCUGGCGGCGUGCUUAACACAUGCAAGUCGAACGGAAAGGCCCUGCUUUUGUGGGGUGCUCGAGUGGCGAACGGGUGAGUAACACGUGAGUAACCUGCCCUUGACUUUGGGAUAACUUCAGGAAACUGGGGCUAAUACCGGAUAGGAGCUCCUGCUGCAUGGUGGGGGUUGGAAAGUUUCGGCGGUUGGGGAUGGACUCGCGGCUUAUCAGCUUGUUGGUGGGGUAGGGGCUUACAAAGGCUUUGACGGGUAGCCGGCCUGGGAGGGUGACCGGCCACAUGGGGACUGAGAGACGGCCCAGACGCCUACGGGAGGCAGCAGUGGGGAAUAUUGCACAAUGGGCGGAAGCCUGAGGCAGCAACCCCGCGUGCGUGAUAAUGUCCUUCGGGUUGUAAACCGCUUUCGCCUGUGACGAAGCGUGAGUGACGGUAAUGGGUAAAGAAGCACCGGCUAACUACGUG